rnacentral:lncRNA from 1 species
ACGUCUCCGAGGAAGUGAAACAUUGGUGGAUAUAUGAUAGAAAUCAUCAUGGUAAAGAAAGUAUUACAGUAAGACUGAAAACCAACCAUUUUGCCCAAGGGACAGACCCUCAGCUGUGACUCUGCACCUGAUCUCUGUGGCUUUGCUGAAAUGUAGCUUUAACCCUGGAGUAUCCUAAAGGUGGGUGGCAGUUCUGAAAAUGUGGAUGGCACAGUCUCCUGCUGA